rnacentral:rRNA from 1 species
CCCGCUGAACUUAAGCAUAUCAAUAAGCGGAGGAAAAGAAACCAACAGGGAUUGCCCUAGUAACGGCGAGUGAAGCGGCAAGAGCUCAAAUUUGAAAUCUGGUCCUAGACCCGAGUUGUAAUUUGUAGAGGAAUGUUCGGCAAUAUCUUUGGUCCAAGUUUUCUGGAACGAAACGUCUUGGAGGGUGAGAACCCCGUACUCGACUGUUAGAUAACGCUAUGUGAACUUCCUUCAAAGAGUCGAGUUGUUUGGGAAUGCAGCUCAAAAUGGGUGGUAAAUUCCAUCUAAAGCUAAAUAUUGGCCAGAGACCGAUAGCGCACAAGUAGAGUGAUCGAAAGAUGAAAAGCACUUUGGAAAGAGAGUGAAACAGUACGUGAAAUUGUUGAAAGGGAAGCGCUUACAACCAGACUUGUAUUCAAGUGUUCCGCUCAUCAUUUGAUGGGUUCACUCAUUUGGAUCAGGCCAACAUCGGUUUUGAUGACUGAAUAAAGGUUUAAGGAAUGUGACAUUCUUCGGGAUGUGUUAUAGCCUUUUACAUAAUACAGUCAAUUUGGACCGAGGAUCGCGUUUUGCUUGGAUGUUGGCAUAAUGGUUGUUAGCGGCCCGUCUUGAAACACGG